rnacentral:rRNA from 1 species
UACGUAGGUGGCAAGCGUUGUCCGGAAUUAUUGGGCGUAAAGGGCGCGUAGGUGGCCCGGUCAGCGUGCGGUGAAAGCUCGGGGCUCAACCCCGAGUCGGCCGUGCGAACUGCUGGGCUUGAGCACUGUAGAGGCAGGCGGAAUUCCGGGUGUAGCGGUGGAAUGCGUAGAGAUCCGGAAGAACACCGGUGGCGAAGGCGGCCUGCUGGGCAGUGGCUGACACUGAGGCGCGACAGCGUGGGGAGCAAACAGG